rnacentral:rRNA from 1 species
GAGUUUGAUCUUGGCUCAGAUUGAACGCUGGCGGCACGCCUUACACAUGCAAGUCGAACGGCAGCACGGGAGCUUGCUCCUGGUGGCGAGUGGCGAACGGGUGAGUAAUGCAUCGGAACGUAUCCUGGAGUGGGGGAUAACGUAGCGAAAGUUACGCUAAUACCGCAUAUUCUGUGAGCAGGAAAGCGGGGGACCUUCGGGCCUCGCGCUCUUGGAGCGGCCGAUGUCGGAUUAGCUAGUUGGUGAGGUAAAGGCUCACCAAGGCGACGAUCCGUAGCAGGUCUGAGAGGAUGAUCUGCCACACUGGAACUGAGACACGGUCCAGACUCCUACGGGAGGCAGCAGUGGGGAAUUUUGGACAAUGGGGGCAACCCUGAUCCAGCCAUGCCGCGUGAGUGAAGAAGGCC